rnacentral:rRNA from 1 species
ACUCCUACGGGAGGCAGCAGUGGGGAAUAUUGGACAAUGGGCGAAAGCCUGAUCCAGCCAUGCCGCGUGUGUGAAGAAGGUCUUCGGAUUGUAAAGCACUUUAAGUUGGGAGGAAGGGCAGUAAGCUAAUACCUUGCUGUCUUGACGUUACCGACAGAAUAAGCACCGGCUAACUUCGUGCCAGCAGCCGCGGUAAUAC